UGAACGUACUGAAUGUACAGUGCACAGAAACAAAAAUGGAAAGAAAAGUCCAAAAGUUCUAUUAAUUUAAUUAUGCAAAUGCAUAAACUUAACCCGAAAUUUGACUCGAAGCCGUAAUGACGUGUACGUGAUGAGAAAAGCUGAGCAAAAUUAGAAAGUCAAAGAGAUGUCAAUCAACACAAUCACUGGUAGUUUCUAUGUGAACAAGGAACUCUGAAUCGUUUGAAGGGUUAUCGUACUAUUAUUAUUUCAUUUCAUUUAUAUAUGAGUGUUUUUAUUUCAUUUUUUUCGCGGGAAAUUCCAACUGAAACGCUUAGUACUAUCCAGUUUCGAUUGAACAAAAAAGAGCUGAGUUCUGGGAG